AAGAACUUGAACAAGGAAUCAGCGAGGAUUACAGAGUCGCAAAAUUUGGAUUUCGUUGUGGUAUUAAUCCUGAAUUAUGUGUUCGUGUAACGUUAAAUUAUUCAUGUAAGUUUAACUCUUUAUAGAAAUAUAUAAUUUUCACACGACGUCAACAUGAACAGAAAAACAAGGCAGAUAUGUUGGAACUUUUCCAAUGUCCUGUAAUAAACCUGUAUUGGGGCUACGGCCAGUGUGCGCAUGCGCACGACCCACAAUUCAUUUCUUCCUCGUGUCUCUUUUGGAAGAGCUCCUUAACGUGGUCUUUCUCGUCUCUCCGUUGGAAGGGUAAGGUUAGAGGAGUGUCCGACUGAAGCACCUGGUUUGAAAAGAGCACAAAACCCCAGGAGGAGCGGAAAUGGGAAUUCUGAGCUGCAGAAAUGGAGCGCCUCUCAUGUUAAAAGUACUUGGACUGGACUCCCAGCCACCGGAUUGAGGAGAUGUUCUGUGCUGAAACUGUGAAGGUUAGAGGAGUGUCCAACUGAAGCACCUGGUUUGAAAAGAGCACAAGACCUCAGCAGGAGCUGAAAGAACGCACGAGCUGAGAAAAUAAGAUGACGUGCCAUGUCAAGUGCCUGGGUGAGCAAGCUGAUCACCUCCAGAAUAUAUUGGUUGGCAGGAUUCAUGAAACCAAGGUGAAACUGAAGAGCAUUCGGUGGAGGAUAUUUUGAGCUUGGUUACUGCAUUAUCCACAAAGUUUUUAAAAUGACCAAUACCCCUAUCAUUAACAUACAGCAUCGAACCUCGUCCUGUGAUAUUAAUAAGGUUGUAGGUGCUUGUAUAAACAUCAUACAGGUUGGCAAUAAUUUAGCCACUUUAAAAAUAAAUAAAUAACAUUAUUUUUUUGUAGCAAAGGAAAUACUAUUCUUGAACGAAACUUCUACCAAUUCCAGUGUGAGAGCACAAAAAUCCACAUCCUGGAUGCAAAGCUAGAAAGCAUGUAGAUGGCUUGUUUAUGUAUGUAUGUAUGUAUGUAUUUAUUUAUUUAUUUUUAUUUGUAUAACAAAUCUCUCCUCCUAUGCUUUGCCCACUGGAGGCUGCCAGUGUUUCUAGUGGCCAUAACAGGGGGGUAUAGCAACCUCUUGCAAAAACUGGAUCAAAGGGCGUCCACAUGUGCCCGGAUCCUGUGCAAGGAACAGACACAUCUUCUAUGAACAGCCUCUUUCAUGACUUAACACCCACCUAGUAAAUAAUGCUCAGAAUCCAAAUAAAGCUAAUGCGCACAAUUUAAACUCACUGAGGACUUUUUUUUUUUAAUUAGGCAGGGAGUUGAAACGGAUAAGAUGACAGACAACCAAUAUCGUGUAUCAUAACAUAACAAAAAAAUAAGUCAGAAGUCAAUUCUAUAUACCGAUGGCUCAGUUUUUCCGCGUGUUUCUCUCUAGGUGCUGCGGAUGUGUCCUGAAGUCCAGAUGAGCAGCAUGUCUACGUUCAACACAGACACGUUUUUAUCUGCCCUUAUGUUUGAACUUUUCUUUGUGCUACUUGGUGUUGACUGUAACGUCUUCUUACAAAUUUAUAAAGUUGUUUGUCAGAUCUUUUCUGUGAAGUAUAUAAAAAAUAAUAAAUGUGGAGAAAUGGUGUGUUCAAAAGUAUUAAAUGUAACUUUACAUCC